rnacentral:rRNA from 1 species
UACAGAGGGUGCAAGCGUUGUUCGGAAUUAUGGGGCGUAAAGCGCGUGUAGGCGGCUUUGCAAGUCGGGUGUGAAAGCCCUCAGCUCAACUGAGGAAGUGCGCCCGAAACUGCAGAGCUUGAGUGCCGGAGAGGGUGGCGGAAUUCCCCAAGUAGAGGUGAAAUUCGUAGAUAUGGGGAGGAACACCGGUGGCGAAGGCGGCCACCUGGACGGUAACUGACGCUGAGACGCGAAAGCGUGGGUAGCAAACAGG